rnacentral:piRNA from 1 species
UCUGAUAACACUAUUAGAGGGAACAUACCAU